AGCACAAGCACCAUCUUAAUUUCCUAUCUAUCAAACCACUCAAAGUAGGAGGCCCUCUGUACAAGCGCUUUCAUUAGUUUUAGAGGUGUUUUCUACUCCUCAUGUGGUAUGCGUCCUCCAGGCUCCUAAUCCAGACUUCAGCUGGGAAUGAGGUCCUGAUGAAGUUGGAGUUCAGAGCCUUCUCAUGAUGUUCUCCCUAUCAUUUCUCCCCCACUGGGAGUCUGGAUCAAAAUUCUUUCUGGGGAGCAGAAGUUUUCUGGCAGACCGGCAGCUGGAAGCUUUCAACCCAGGGGCAGGAGAGAGACUAGUUAUUUUUUAAAACGUGGACUAAAAUGCAUACUACAAUAUCCUGUUAACAAAAGGCACUGCAGCCACUGAUUCCAGCAUGGGCUUCAGUUUCCCGUUGACCUUCACCAGCGCCUAGAACAAAGCAAGAGGAAAAACAAUAGAACGGAGAGGGGACUCAGAAUCACAUGAUUUUCCAGCAUUCACAUAUGAGUGAGGCAUCUGUAAGAGGAUGAUUCUUUUGGCAAACAUGAGCUAGUUACAGGAAGCCAAUAUACAUUUAGUGCCAUUUCGUUAUAAUAGGGUUUGUGCAGAGAAAUAAAUAAAUAAAUGACAAGGUAACUGUGUGCUACUCCAGGGACUACCAGUCACACAGAUUAUCAUCCUGUUUUAAAUUGACAUCAAGUAGGACAGAAAAUAAAAUAUUCCAGCUCACGAAUGCUUACUAGUAUGUGUAUUAAUCUUUCACAGAAAUAAAUCUACCACUGUGCUUCACCAUGAAGCUGUGUGGACUUAUCUGGAUUAAAUAAGGUCUGGAAAAAUCCUCAAAAAAAAAAAAACUGCUCAUUUAAAAAUAUUAACUUAUUUAUUGGAUAAAGACAGAGAAAUUGAGAAUGAAAGGGGAGCUAGAGAGGAGGAAAGGGAGGAAGGGACUGGGCAGGAGCACAGCUGGUUAAACGCACAUAUCAUGAAGAGCAAAGACCCUGGUUUGGGUUUGAGCACCCGCCCAGUCCCUACCUGCAGGGGGAGACUUCACUGGUGGAGAAGCAAGUCUGCAGAUGUCUCUUUUUCUCUCUCCCGCUCUGUCUGCUUUCCCCUCUCAAUUUCUCUCUGUCGUAUCAAGGGGAAGGGGGAAAAAAAAAAAGAAAAAAGAGAUGCCUGGAGCAGUGGAUUCAUAGUGCUGGCAUCAGGCCUUAGCUAUAAUGCUGGUG